ensembl:lncRNA
CUUCAUCUCCCGACUCCUCAGCCGAACACCCCGUCGACCCGCUCACCAUGUCAUCGGGGAUAAAAAUGACAACCAUAAAGUUUUCGAAGCAGACUGAUCUUGGAGUCUUGGCCUCCAAGAUCAAAAACAAGAUGCUCAAUAGUUCAUCUUUUUUUAAGAUCUCUUUGAAGACGAACAACAGGGCAUUAGCUGGUGCUCUGCAGGCCCAGAGAGAGAAGAGCAACAACCUGCAGAUGGAAAUUAUUGGCCUCCUGAAACAAGUGGAUGCUCUGUUAUUUGAAAGGGCUUCCAUGAGAUACAAGCAUAAGCAGUUGGUUCUUAUGGUAAAGGAACUCCGUAGCACCACCAUGCAUCAGUUAUGCAGUAUGGCUGACAUCCUAUCCUCAGAAGACGAUGACUGUAACAACCAACAAGACGAUGCAGAUGGUGGUGAUGUUGAGAAUAAAAGUCUAUUACCCUGCCAACCGCAACCCUUAACUGAGGCACAUCACUCACCAAUCAAAACACUGGUAGAUUUGACUAAUACUAUCGGUGGUGUACAAGGCCAGCCAUCAAACGAUAUGAAAAUCGAUAAAGAGGGGGAAAAUACUUCUGAUGAAGCUGUGCAGUUGGCCCGAUGGAGAACAACCAGUCAAACCAGUAGCUUGAGGGAGGAUGUGGAACAGUAUUCCAGGACUCAGCCCGGACGGGACAGUCACUCUAUGCUGCCUUCAUGCCCUCAAAACAGUCACACCCCUGCAGCUGUUGUUGCAUCUGAAAACAAACGAUUGAGCGUUUCUGUCGAUCUUCAGAAAAGCUCAGCCCAGGAGUUGACCACCGCCUCCAACAACAACAACACCACCACCACCUCCAACAACGAUAACGACCACAGAGGUGGACAGGAGGUGACUUUGCUCCUGAACACCACCAUGGAGAUGACCGUGAGGGAUGCCACUGAAAUAAUCAUCGUCGACACCAAGAAGAAAUCCCGAAACACAAACGAGCCUAAGAUUAAAGACCAAGCCGCACCAGUGGUAAAGGCAAAGAAGGAAAAGAAAAGAAACAAGAAACCAGGGAGGCCAGAAGACAGAGACUCUACAGAGUGCGGGUUAGUAGAAACCCAACAUGUGCACACUGCUGCUCUGCCACUAUCAGAGGAUCGUACAGAAGAGGCCUCUGGUACACAUAAGGUUGUGUCUCGCAUCCCCAGAUUUGGCAAGGCUAAAGCUUGUGACGGACCGAACACGAUACAGAAGAAACCUCAGAGUUACCCGAGUAUUGCCUUACCUGAGUAUAGCGGCUGUGACGUCGUAGAGCCUGACAGACACGUCCCCACAGUCAGGGAAGAUGCAAGAUGGUCACCCAAUCAUGUUUUUUCAGAGGACGGAAACGCUAAAAAGAAAUUAAGAAGGACUAAUGUCGCUUCAAAUCCACCAAGAGUAAUCAAAAGGAAAACCCCUAUCCCAUUAAUGAACCUCUCUAAUGCUGAAACACAAAGAACAUCUAAUGGCAAAACUACAGAGGAAGUAGACACCGCCUAUAGUGAUGCAUUCAGCGGCCAACUGCUGGAGAGUCAACAACUUCCUGUGGCCUCUAAUGACAACACACCUUUUGAGCUUGGGGGCGGGGACUUGGGUUUUCCAGAGGCUGGUUACCCUGAGAGCAAGGAUCUUAACUUUAACAGAGAACUCAGGAAGACUUUUGUGGUGACGAGGGAUGGGUCCCCGUGGGAAAACUUCUCACCAGAUAUCAGUACUGGAGCCAGCAUCCUGACGCCAUCUUCAGCAUCUCCGCGUGGGUCAGAAGGACAACAAGAUGCCUCAGUUGCAAGUUCACCGAGGCAGGUUUCGGAAGCCACUCUGCACAGGUUCUCCGGUCCUAAUUACUGUGACAAGGUAGAUGUUUCGGAUCAGACCCAUUUGCCACGCAAGCGUCCCUACGAGGAAGUUCAGGGGCACGAGGCCACCUGUUCCAAUGGGAUAAGAGCAGCAUGGAGUGAGCAAUCAGCAUGUCCUUUCAACGUCAGAAAGAAGAAAGUAGAGAAGAGUAGGCACCAACAGAGCUACAGCCCUCAAGGGUACGGGCCUCAAGAUCAGGAACUGCCACCUCACCAGGACGACACGCAAACAGGAAAGGUUGUUCUGGACGGUACACACAAAAAGUCAAUUUUGUCUCUCAGAACCAGCAGAGUAGCUGCUGGUACGUACAACGAGGAGUCGCCUCAACACAUCGCUGAGACGGUCGAUGUCUCUCCGGAUACUUGGGUUCCUAAAAGGCUCCCACCACCGUCCCGUUCCAAAAAGAGCAACAGUAAGAAGAUCUUUUCCACUUCCUCCGGCACAACAAGGAAAAACUUUGUGGCCUUCGACAACAAAAGGAUGUCAGAUGUCCUCGCGAGCGACGGGGGGAUGGACCAGUGUCUUACGAGCCUGCUGCUGGAUGAGAGGCCGCCAUGGGAGACCCCAGAUGUCAGCCUCAGGGCUCUGGAUAUGGAGGACCACUAUGUCCCUACUCCCAAGAAAGCCGUCUUGGCCACGGUGACGGGGUUGAAGGAGCCGCCGCCAAAUACAGUCAACACUUUCACAGACAGUGGAGAAGUCGGUGGCCGAACCAGAAGAACAAAGGCAUCUGUGAACUACAAGGAGCCCAGCAUAACAUGCAAAUUGAGGCGCGGAGACCGUCACACGGACACCGGUCUCCUGAUUGCUCCUAUUUAUAAGGAAAAAAAGAAGAAGAAACGGACCAAGAUGGCGAACAAGCAAAGACCAGAAAGCAGUCUUAGUUUAGGUUUUUUAGUAGAUGAAAGUGAAAACCCUGUUUGA